UCUGGCACUUUGUGAUGCUCUAUGCCAAG
rnacentral:piRNA from 1 species